CCCUCAAUAUAUCUCAAGGAUCUUUCGGAAAAAAGAGGUCUAAUCUAGAAGUAGUCAUCAGUGAACAAUGAACCCUGAAGAUCUUCCAGGUCACGUGAUUCAAGGCCGAGACGAAGCGCUUCCAUGAUUCUUUCAAAAACCACUACGUGACAGGGAAUUCUCAACACUCCUUUUUGGUCGUAGCCAUAUUCCUGAGCAGACUUGUUAAGAAGUCCGAUGAAGAUCGGGUGGUUAAGUAGCUCCGCGCUCACCACAA
rnacentral:misc_RNA from 1 species